UCCUCCGUAGCUCAGUUGGCAGAGCGGGUGACUGUUAAUCACUAGGUCGCAGGUUCGAGCCCUGCCGGGGGAG
rnacentral:tRNA from 1 species